UCAACUCAAGUCGAGCUCAAGCCU
rnacentral:miRNA from 1 species